UACGGAGGGGACUAGCGUUGUUCGGAAUUACUGGGCGUAAAGCGCACGUAGGCGGAUUUGUAAGUCAGGGGUGAAAUCCCGGGGCUCAACCUCGGAACUGCCUUUGAUACUGCAAAUCUCGAGUCCGGAAGAGGUGAGUGGAAUUCCUAGUGUAGAGGUGAAAUGCGUAGAGAUGUGGAGGAACACCAGUGGCGAAGGCGACUCUUUGGACUGUAACUGACGCUGAGGCGCGAAAGCGUGGGGAGCAAACAGG
rnacentral:rRNA from 1 species